rnacentral:rRNA from 1 species
UGGGGAAUAUUGGACAAUGGGGGGAACCCUGAUCCAGCCAUGCCGCGUGUGUGAAGAAGGCCUUAUGGUUGUAAAGCACUUUAAGCGAGGAGGAGGGUACUGGUAUUAAUACUACCAGCUACUGGACGUUACUCGCAGAAUAAGCACCGGCUAACUCUGUGCCAGCAGCCGCGUUAAUACAGAGGGUGCGAGCGUUAAUCGGAUUUACUGGGCGUAAAGCGUGCGUAGGCGGCUAAUUGAGUCGGAUGUGAAAUCCCCGAGCUUAACUUGGGAAGUGCAUUCGAUACUGGUUAGCUCGAGUGUGGGAGAGGAUGGUAGAAUUCCAGGUGUAGCAGUGAAAUGCGUAGAGCUCUGGAGGAAUACCGAUGGCGAAGGCAGCCAUCUGGCCUAACACUGACGCUGAGGUACGAAAGCAUGGGGAGCAAACAGG